rnacentral:rRNA from 1 species
UACGUAGGGUGCGAGCGUUAAUCGGAAUUACUGGGCGUAAAGCGUGCGCAGGCGGUUUUGUAAGCCAGAUGUGAAAGCCCCGGGCUUAACCUGGGAAUGGCAUUUGGGACUGCAAGGCUUGAGUGCGGCAGAGGAGACUGGAAUUCCUGGUGUAGCAGUGAAAUGCGCAGAUAUCAGGAGGAACACCGGUGGCGAAGGCGGGUCUCUGGGCAGUAACUGACGUGAGGAGCGAAAGCGUGGGUAGCAAACAGG